UACGUAGGCAGCAAGCGUUGUUCGGAGUUACUGGGCGUAAAGGGUGCGUAGGCGGUCCUAUAAGUAUGGUGUGAAAUCUCCCGGCUUAACUGGGAGGGUGCGCUAUAGACUGUGGGACUAGAGUGUGGGAGAGGAAAGUGGAAUUCCUGGUGUAGCGGUGAAAUGCAUAGAUAUCAGGAGGAACACCGGUGGUGUAAACGGCUUUCUGGACCAUAACUGACGCUGAGGCACGAAAGCGUGGGUAGCAAACAGG
rnacentral:rRNA from 1 species